GGGCGUGUAUUUUAACGGUUAGAAUCGGUCUCUUAUAAAGACCUGGCGAUGGUUCGACUCCAUCCACGCCCACCG
rnacentral:tRNA from 1 species